ACCUGGUUGAUUCUGCCAGUAGUCAUAUGCUUGUCUCAAAGAUUAGCCAUGCAUGUCUAAGUAUACGCAAAUUAUACUGUGAAACUGCGAAUGGCUCAUUAAAUCAGUUAUAGUUUAUUUGAUGUUUCUUGCUACAUGGAUAACUGUGGUAAUUCUAGAGCUAAUACAUGCGUAAAAAGCCCCGACUUCGGAAGGGGUGUAUUUAUUAGAUAAAAACAUCCUCCUCGGAGUUUGGCGAUUCAUAAUAACUUCUCGAAUCGCACGGCCUUGUGCUGGCGAUGCUUCAUUCAAAUAUCUGCCCUAUCAAACUGUCGAUGGUAGGAUAGAGGCCUACCAUGGUUGCAACGGGUAACGGGGAAUAGGGUUCGAUUCCGGAGAGGGAGCCUGAGAAACGGCUACCACAUCCAAGGAAGGCAGCAGGCGCGCAAAUUACCCCAUCCCGACACGGGGAGGUAGUGACAAUAAAUAACAAUGCAGGGCCCUUUUGGGUCUUGUAAUUGGAAUGAGUACAAUUUAAAUCCCUUAACGAGGAACGAUUGGAGGGCAAGUCUGGUGCCAGGCAGCCGCGGUAAUUCCAGCUCCAAUAGCGUAUAUUAAAGUUCCCUCCGGGGCCUAAGUAUAAUUUUUGUCAGUUUAUUCACUUAGGAGGACUAAGGUCAGAAGCGUUUUCACUUUAUCUUAAAAUCUAACAAACGCAGAAACUUCUCUAUUCCUUUUAGGAGUCCUUGAAGCGGUCCGGGGGGCUCAGUACGGGGUGAUACCCAGAGCCAAAGGAGAAAAAACUGUCUUUUAAAUCACGGAGGGAUUCUUUAGCUUGGGCCUUAAACCCCCAAGCUUCAUAAUGCCUCCAAAAAAUGCCAACGCGACGCAAGUCGCUCCUGAAGGAGCUCCAGUGGAGACAACCUCGGACAGACCGGUUUCUAAGCCGGAGAGCCCGAUCGAAGCUGAUAGCCCUUCAAAUUUAAGGGGAAACAAGAGAAAACUGAGUGGGUUGGGAAACCCCCGGUCUAAGAAAGGAAAGAAUCAGUUGUCGUCGGACUCAGACUCGUCUGAAUCCAGCCCUUCUGAAUCUGACUCCGACUCUGACUCUGAUGUCCCUAAAAUUGUCGAGCCUUCCAAAGACAUGGACCAGCUCUCAAAAUCGGCAAGCAGUCUGGGGGUGAGGGAUGCAGCAAUGGAGCCAGCACAAGCUGACCCAGUAACCCCACUUCCAGCCAGCAAUUCGCCAACAACAACCAAGUCGCAAGGUGCCCAUCCCUCAAAGGAUCCUUUUCCUGAGGUGAGGGACUGGGCUGCCGAGGUGGAAAUUGCAGAGGCCAAAAAAGCCCGCAAUAAGCCCGGAAAGCCGAACGCAAAGGUAGAGCAGCGCGGGUGAAGCAGGCUAAACUUGCUCAGCUCACAGCGGACCGACUGGCUGUAAAGCCCCGCCGCGUGAGUGUGUCCGGUGUAAAACCCAGCAUUGGGAACAGGACCCCUGCCCGCCAAAGCCCACGGCCUCCCUGAAAAGGGGGCCUCAAAAACUAAGUCCUCAACUGCUGGCAAACGCAAGCAGAAUGGGGCCGAAAUUGAGAAUGACAGAGGGCCCUCUAAAAAGGGGAAGGGGCGAGUCUCGAAUGUGGACCUUGGAAAAGGAUCAUUAUCCGGGCUGUUGCGGGGCGUUCUUCAUCCCGUAAAACCACCUCGGAGUUCCAGGAUGGCACCCAUUGUACCUGAACCUCUCCAAUUCUCCAGUGAAUGGCAGAAAGGGAAAUCCCUGGAAAAGGGAUUCUCUGUUGUUGAAUUGACGCGGGGCAUGCGUGCGGCGGGGCUGGUACCCAUCCGUGCAUCCAACCAAAAGUGGAGCUUCUACUUUGGAAUGGUUGAUCCGAUUCGGAUCUUCCUCGGAUGCUGAGGAAGCCGUUGACAAGCCUUUUACCCUCCGGGGGUUGAGGU
rnacentral:rRNA from 1 species